rnacentral:tRNA from 1 species
AGAAACUUAGGUUAAUUAUAAACCAAAGACCUUCAAAGUCCAAAAUAAGAGUAAGCCAAAUCUCCUAGUUUCUG